rnacentral:misc_RNA from 1 species
GAAAACGAAAAACCACCUGGGGAGGUGGUUUUUCGAAGGUUCAGUAAGUUGGGGAACUUCUGAACCGUGGUAACAGUCUUGUGCGAGACAUGUCACCAAAUCUGUCCUUUCAGUGUAGCCGCAGUCAGGCCACCACUUCAAGAACUCUCGAUACAUCUCUCGCACAUCCUGUCUACCAGUGGCCGUUGUCAAUGGCGAUUAGUCGUGUCUUACCGGGUUGGACUCAAGACGAUAGUUACCGGAUAAGGCGCAGCGGUCGGGCUGAACGGGGGGUUCGUGCACACAGCCCAGCUUGGAGCGAACGACCUACACCGAACUGAGAUACCAACAGCGUGAGCUAUGAGAAAGCGCCACGCUUCCCGAAGGGAGAAAGGCGGACAGGUAUCUGGUAAGCGGCAGGGUCGGAACAGGAGAGCGCACGAGGGAGCCAUCAGGGGGAAACGCCUGGUAUCUUUAUAGUCCUGUCGGGUUUCGCCACCACUGAUUUGAGCGUCAGAUUUCGUGAUGCUUGUCAGGGGGGCGGAGCCUAUGGAAAA